rnacentral:rRNA from 1 species
UACGUAGGGUGCAAGCGUUAAUCGGAAUUACUGGGCGUAAAGCGUGCGCAGGCGGCUUUGCAAGACAGAUGUGAAAUCCCCGGGCUUAACCUGGGAACUGCAGUCGAAACUACAAGUCUUGAAUGCUCGAGAGGAUGGUGGAAUUCCAGGAGUAGAAGUGAAAUUCGUAGAUAUCUGGAGGAACACCGGAGGCGAAAGCGGCCAUCUGGCGAGACAUUGACGCUAAGGUGCGAAAGCGUGGGGAUCAAACAGG